rnacentral:rRNA from 1 species
UACGAAGGGGGCUAGCGUUGUUCGGAAUUACUGGGCGUAAAGGGCGCGCAGGCGGUCCCUCAAGUCAGGCGUGAAAGCCCCGGGCUCAACCUGGGAACUGCGCUUGAGACUGCGGGACUGGAGUUCGGGAGAGGUGAGUGGAAUUCCGAGUGUAGAGGUGAAAUUCGUAGAUAUUCGGAAGAACACCAGUGGCGAAGGCGGCUCACUGGACCGGCAUUGACGCUGAGGUGCGAAAGCGUGGGGAGCAAACAGG